GAUGAACGCUGGCGGCGUGCUUAACACAUGCAAGUCGAACGGUGAACACGGAGCUUGCUCUGUGGGAUCAGUGGCGAACGGGUGAGUAACACGUGAGCAACCUGCCCCUGACUCUGGGAUAAGCGCUGGAAACGGCGUCUAAUACUGGAUAUGUGACGUGACCGCAUGGUCUGCGUUUGGAAAGAUUUUUCGGUUGGGGAUGGGCUCGCGGCCUAUCAGCUUGUUGGUGAGGUAAUGGCUCACCAAGGCGUCGACGGGUAGCCGGCCUGGGAGGGUGACCGGCCACACUGGGACUGAGACACGGCCCAGACUCCUACGGGAGGCAGCAGUGGGGAAUAUUGCACAAUGGGAGCAAGCCUGAUGCAGCAACGCCGCGUGAGGGAUGACGGCCUUCGGGUUGUAAACCUCUUUUAGCAGGGAAGAAGCGAAAGUGACGGUACCUGCAGAAAAAGCGCCGGCUAACUACGUG
rnacentral:rRNA from 1 species